AUGGUGCUGAUUUGUAAAGUUACGGAUGGUCAUACUUGAUCAAGUCUGUCCGCAAGACGACAAGUAAACCAUUUUUAAAAUGCUUGUUUUCUGAAUGGAGUUUGGAUUGUUCAGGGCUGUACUAACAUUGGAGCUGCUCCAUCAACAAGACAACAUACAUGUAAUUUCAGAAUUUAUCCGGUAAUCAAACGUAUCUGCUUACUUUUUCCAAAGAAAGCUUCUUUUUGUC